rnacentral:rRNA from 1 species
AUUGAACGCUGGCGGCAGGCCUAACACAUGCAAGUCGAGCGGAUGAAGGGAGCUUGCUCCUGGAUUCAGCGGCGGACGGGUGAGUAAUGCCUAGGAAUCUGCCUGGUAGUGGGGGAUAACGUCCGGAAACGGGCGCUAAUACCGCAUACGUCCUGAGGGAGCAAGUGGGUGAUCUUCGGACCUCACGCUAUCAGAUGAGCCUAGGUUGGAUUAGCUAGUUGGUGGGGUAAAGGCCUACCAAGGCGACGAUCCGUAACUGGUCUGAGAGGAUGAUCAGUCACACUGGAACUGAGACACGGUCCAGACUCCUACGGGAGGCAGCAGUGGGGAAUAUUGGACAAAGGGCGAAAGCCUGAUCCAGCCAUGCCGCGUGUGUGAAGAAGGUCUUCGGAUUGUAAAGCACUUUAAGUUGGGAGGAAGGGCAGUAAGUUAAUACCUUGCUGUUUUGACGUUACCAACAGAAUAAGCACCGGCUAACUUCGUG